rnacentral:rRNA from 1 species
GCAUAUCAAUAAGCGGAGGAAAAGAAACCAACAGGGAUUGCCCUAGUAACGGCGAGUGAAGCGGCAACAGCUCAAAUUUGAAAUCUGGCUUUCGGGCCCGAGUUGUAAUUUGUAGAGGAUGAUUUUGAUGCGGUGCCUUCCGAGUUCCCUGGAACGGGACGCCAUAGAGGGUGAGAGCCCCGUCUGGUUGGAUGCCAAAUCUCUGUAAAUCUCCUUCGACGAGUCGAGUAGUUUGGGAAUGCUGCUCUAAAUGGGAGGUAUAUGUCUUCUAAAGCUAAAUACCGGCCAGAGACCGAUAGCGCACAAGUAGAGUGAUCGAAAGAUGAAAAGCACUUUGAAAAGAGAGUUAAAAAGUACGUGAAAUUGUUGAAAGGGAAGCGUUUAUGACCAGACUUGGGCUUGGUUAAUCAUCUGGGGUUCUCUCCAGUGCACUUUUCCAGUCCAGGCCAGCAUCAGUUUUCGCCGGGGGAUAAAGGCUUCGGGAAUGUGGCUCCCCUCGGGGAGUGUUAUAGCCCGUUGUGUAAUACCCUGGRGGGGACUGAGGUUCGCGCUUCUGCAAGGAUGCUGGCGUAAUGGUCAUCAACGACCCGUCUUGAAACACGGACCAAGGAGUCGUCUUCGUAUGCGAGUGUUCGGGUGUCAAACCCCUACGCGUAAUGAAAGUGAACGCAGGUGAGAGCUUCGGCGCAUCAUCGACCGAUCCUGAUGUUCUCGGAUGGAUUUGAGUAAGAGCAUACGGGGCCGGACCCGAAAGAAGGUGAACUAUGCCUGUGUAGGGUGAAGCCAGAGGAAACUCUGGUGGAGGCUCGCAGCGGUUCUGACGUGCAAAUCGAUCGUCAAACAUGGGCA